rnacentral:rRNA from 1 species
CCUACGGGAGGCAGCAGUGGGGAAUAUUGCACAAUGGGGGAAACCCUGAUGCAGCGACGCCGCGUGAGUGAUGAAGUAUUUCGGUACGUAAAGUCCUAUCAGUAGGGAAGAUAAUGACGGUACCUGACUAAGAAGCCCCGGCUAACUCCGUGCCAGCAGCCGCGGUAAUACGUAGGGUGCAAGCGUUAUUCGGAUUUACUGGGUGUAAAGGGAGCGUAGACGGCAGCGCAAGUCUGGUGUGAAAUCCUAUGGCUUAACCAUGGAACUGCAUUGGAAACUGUGCAGCUGGAGUGCAGGAGAGGUAAGCGGAAUUCCUGGUGUAGGGGUGAAAUGCGUAGAGAUUAGGAGGAACACCAGUGGCGAAGGCGGCUUACUGGACUGUAACUGACGUUGAGGCUCGAAAGCGUGGGGAGCAAACAGGAUUAGAUACCCGAGUAGUC